GGAUUAGAUACCCUGGUAGUCCACGCUGUAAACGAUGGUCACUAGCUGUUUGGGCGCAAGUCUGAGUGGCUAAGCGAAAGUGAUAAGUGACCCACCUGGGGAGUACGAUCGCAAGAUUGAAACUCAAAGGAAUUGACGGGGGCCCGCACAAGCGGUGGAGCAUGUGGUUUAAUUCGAUGAUACGCGAGGAACCUUACCAGGGCUUAAAUGUGGAUUGACAGGUUUAGAGAUAGACUUUUCUUCGGACAAUUCACAAGGUGCUGCAUGGUUGUCGUCAGCUCGUGCCG
rnacentral:rRNA from 1 species